UACAGAGGGGGCAAGCGUUGUUCGGAAUUACUGGGCGUAAAGGGCGCGUAGGCGGCCUGCUAAGUCGAACGUGAAAUCCCCGAGCUCAACUCGGGAACUGCGUCCGAUACUGACAGGCUUGAAUCCGGAAGAGGCGAGUGGGAUUCCUGGUGUAGCGGUGAAAUGCGCAGAUAUCAGGAGGAACACCAAUUGCGAAGGCAGCUCGCUGGGACGUUACUGACGCUGAGACGCGAAAGCGUGGGGAGCAAACAGG
rnacentral:rRNA from 1 species